AAACACCAUUUCAACACUCCAAA
rnacentral:misc_RNA from 1 species